rnacentral:sRNA from 1 species
UUUUUUUCUGCCAUCAUAUCCUCAUUCUCACAAUACAAAUCAAACGUAAUGACUGGCAUAUGUUAGACAGGGCUCUAUCCCAUGGUAUGAGAAUUAUAGAUGUUGAUAUGCGAUUCUGCUUCCAUGCCCGUUUUCUAAUGUAGUCCUUACACUUAUUUCUCGGCCAUUUAUACCAUAGUCCAAUCAGUUAUCAUCGUGCAACUGUUGUAACUCCUUCUGGCCCUCACAAAUGAAAGC